rnacentral:rRNA from 1 species
AUUGAACGCUGGCGGCAUGCUUUACACAUGCAAGUCGAACGGUAACAGGGAGCUUGCUCCGCUGACGAGUGGCGAACGGGUGAGUAAUGCAUCGGAACGUGCCGUGUAAUGGGGGAUAACGUAGCGAAAGUUACGCUAAUACCGCAUACGCCCUGAGGGGGGAAAGUGGGGGACCGCAAGGCCUCACGUUAUACGAGCGGCCGAUGUCGGAUUAGCUAGUUGGUGGGGUAAAGGCCUACCAAGGCGACGAUCCGUAGCGGGUCUGAGAGGAUGAUCCGCCACACUGGGACUGAGACACGGCCCAGACUCCUACGGGAGGCAGCAGUGGGGAAUUUUGGACAAUGGGGGCAACCCUGAUCCAGCCAUGCCGCGUGAGUGAAGAAGGCCUCGGUUGUAAGACUCUUUCUAGGUGGAAGAAAUACGCAUCUUUAAUACAGGUGUGGAUGACGGUACCAUCAGAAGAAGACACCGGCUAACUACGUGCCAGCAGCCGCGGUAA